AGCCCGGGCGCCCUUCCUCUCUGCGGGACUGCAGGUCUAUCCGCUAAGCGCGCGUGACCAAAAACGGCUCUCAGCGGGUCCCAGCUGACGGAAGGUGGGGGAGGAGUGCGAGGGUCUCUGAGACAGGUUGGGAGCCAGCCCCACCUCCAUUUCCAAAGCGGGGGUCCAGGCACAGGAACAGCCAAACGCCCGAACCAGCGGGGUUACCUUUGCCACUUCAUCCAAUCCGAGCAUCGGCUGACAAGUUUAUUUAAUCCCUGAACCUGGAUCCAAGGCAUCUCCCUGUAGAAAACAUCAGACCGGGGCAGAGAUUGACAAAGCAACCCAAAGCAGCAGCUGCCAACGGCCGCUGUGCCCACCUCAUCAGCAGCUAAAGAGUAUAAUUUUAAAAAAAGUCACAGAAGAAUGUGGAGACACUUAGCAAAACGGACUCUCAUAAGGAACUUCCAUUUUCUCAACAACUGCUCUUCCAAGAUGCUGCCUCAUUUCAGAGCCAUGUUUUACUCAUGAGCUGGUCCUGUCCAGAAAACAGCCAAUGCUCAUUCCCGACA
rnacentral:lncRNA from 1 species